rfam:Stegodyphus mimosarum contig38887, whole genome shotgun sequence.
GCUUUUGUGGUGUAACGGUAGCACACUCGGCGUGUAAUCAAGAAGUCCAGGUUCGAGUCCCGGUGAGGGCA